CUCUAUUAGUUUCAGAUUUGAUUCACUAAUCAAAUCUAAUUUUGUAUGUAUCGGUCCUUCCACCUCAUGAACUUCAUCAAGUUCAAUUUUAUAGGCAUUAGUUCUUUCACUAAGAAUUUUUUUUUCAAAAAGACUAUAUGGCUGCUGACAAACACCUUUUGUUCUGCAGCGAUAGAAGUAGUACCCUUUAGUUUCUUUGGAUAUCCUAUAAACAAGCAUCUAUCGAACUUCGGUCCAAGCUUAUCUAUCUUUAAACACUGGAUAUAAGUUGGACACCCCC
rnacentral:lncRNA from 1 species